rnacentral:rRNA from 1 species
UACGUAGGGUCCGAGCGUUGUCCGGAAUUACUGGGCGUAAAGAGCUCGUAGGUGGUUUGUCGCGUUGUUCGUGAAAACUCACAGCUUAACUGUGGGCGUGCGGGCGAUACGGGCAGACUUGAGUACUGCAGGGGAGACUGGAAUUCCUGGUGUAGCGGUGGAAUGCGCAGAUAUCAGGAGGAACACCGGUGGCGAAGGCGGGUCUCUGGGCAGUAACUGACGCUGAGGAGCGAAAGCGUGGGGAGCAAACGGG